rnacentral:rRNA from 1 species
AUUGAACGCUGGCGGCAUGCCUUACACAUGCAAGUCGAACGGCAGCACGGGAGCAAUCCUGGUGGCGAGUGGCGAACGGGUGAGUAAUAUAUCGGAACGUGCCCAGUCGUGGGGAUAACGUAGCGAAAGCUACGCUAAUACCGCAUACGAUCUAUGGAUGAAAGCGGGGGAUCGCAAGACCUCGCGCGAUUGGAGCGGCCGAUAUCAGAUUAGGUAGUUGGUGAGGUAAAGGCUCACCAAGCCGACGAUCUGUAGCUGGUCUGAGAGGACGACCAGCCACACUGGGACUGAGACACGGCCCAGACUCCUACGGGAGGCAGCAGUGGGGAAUCUUAGACAAUGGCGCAAGCCUGAUCUAGCCAUGCCGCGUGAGCGAUGAAGGCCUUAGGGUGUAAAGCUCUUUCAGAUGGGAAGAUAAUGACGGUACCAUCAGAAGAAGCCCGGCUAACUCCGUGCCAGCAC